AAAAAUGUGGAGUGAUUUGCCUUGAUUGCAACCACAGAAAAAAAGUGCUAAAACAUAUUUU
rfam:Bacteroidetes bacterium GWF2_35_48 gwf2_scaffold_2186, whole genome shotgun sequence.